UUUUUUUUUUUUUUUUUUUUUUUUUUUUACAUUUUAAAUUAAGCCACCUGCCCGAUCUUUCAGAUUUAAAUGAACGGAGGUAGUAUAAAUAAAUGUUAACCUUUUAAUCUAAACACUGUCGAAAGAAGCGCCCCACUAUUAACUUAUGUGGCAACCAGCUUUAGCAACUGCACUUUCGCUCUCUACUUGGUUAGUGUUGAAAAUAGUAUUGAACCGAAGCAAAUGUUUUCUCUUGAUAAUUUGCUGAACAAGCUAUAUAAUGAGAAAUUAUUUUCAGUAAAAAUGGUAAUUCUUUUAUCUGAGACACUAACGAUAGCGGUGAAAGUUUACAUUGUCCGUAUCAACGGCUCGGAGUGAUAUCUAAAAAUUCUUAGUGUUAUCGGUUUUAUUGCAGUAAUGAGGUAAAUACCUUCACAAUAUUAAGUCCGUUACAUAAUAAGGCCUUUAAUAAAUGACCUUGGUAGAUCGUCACUCCAAAUAUUACACACAAUUCAGGGCAGUGACAUCACUCUCACCCCCUGCUGUAGUCUAGGGCGUGUGGAGCAAUAAUUCGUAUCUUUUAUAAAUGUAUUCCGAUACACCUCGGAAAAGAUAAAGGUGCGCACUUCUCUGCCUAUUGCAAUGCAAUCACUCCAAGUUAUCUCCGGAUUGCAGUGAAGAUAAAAUUUAAUAUCUUUCAUGACACUUUCAACAUCUGCGAAUAUGCGAACUUUGUAAUCAAGCCAAAAGAAAGAAAAACACCCUUGAAUCUUGAUUGCAAUAUCAUUAUACAGAAACACUUGUGGUUACUUUCAUAAUAGAAAUAUAUAAUAUGUUGAGUUAUUAUCUGCGUGUAAUGUUAUUAAUUCUUAGUUGUGAAUAUUGUAUAUCAAUCU